AACGUAGGAGACGAACGUUAUCCGGAGUUACUGGGCGUAAAGGGCGUGCAGGCGGCCGCCUAAGUCUGGCGUGAAAUAUCCCGGCUCAACCGGGAUAGGUCGUCGGAGACUGGGCAGCUAGAGGGCGGUAGAGGCGUGUGGAAUUCCGGGUGUAGUGGUGAAAUGCGUAGAGAUCCGGAGGAACACCAGUGGCGAAGGCGACACGCUAGGCCGCACCUGACGCUGAGACGCGACAGCAUGGGGAGCGAACGGG
rnacentral:rRNA from 1 species